GUGGGGAAUUUUGGACAAUGGGCGCAAGCCUGAUCCAGCAAUGCCGCGUGCAGGAAGAAGGCCUUCGGGUUGUAAACUGCUUUUGUACGGAACGAAACGGUCCGGGUUAAUACCCUGGGCUAAUGACGGUACCGUAAGAAUAAGCACCGGCUAACUACGUGCCAGCAGCCGCGGUAAUACGAAGGGUGCAAGCGUUAAUCGGAAUUACUGGGCGUAAAGCGUGCGCAGGCGGUUUUGUAAGACAGGCGUGAAAUCCCCGGGCUCAACCUGGGAAUUGCGCUUGUGACUGCAAGGCUGGAGUGCGGCAGAGGGGGAUGGAAUUCCGCGUGUAGCAGUGAAAUGCGUAGAUAUGCGGAGGAACACCGAUGGCGAAGGCAAUCCCCUGGGCCUGCACUGACGCUCAUGCACGAAAGCGUGGGGAGCAAACAGGAUUAGAUACCCUUGUAGUCC
rnacentral:rRNA from 1 species